ACAGGAAAGGAAUUGUUAUCAGAACCGGACCGGACUUUUCGGUUAAACCGAAGAACCUGCGAACCGAGCAAGUAACCGGUCCGGUUUGAUUUUGUUUGCCAGCGCAUCGCACCCAAUCCUAUUCCUUCCCCUCUUUCGUCUUUGAUUCUUCAUCAAAAUCACACUUGAACAUCUUCUUCUUGUCAAAUCGAGAGAACACAGUUUGCAAAGGUGCAGUGAACCGCCGGUUUAACCACUGAUCCUGCACCUCCGGUGACUCACUGUCCGAUAACACUGGUCGUCACAGCACUUCAAUUCAUCGGCAAUGACACAUCCUUUCUGACCGAGGAGGCAUGACAUGCCGUCGUUUUGAAUCUCAGCCGUUGCUCAAAUCCAUUGAUAACCACUUCUCUUCACAAAAAGUGGAACUGUAUAACUAAUCAUGAUUUAAAUCACAAAUAUAAAAAAUAUAAAAAUGACCGAGUUUUCGAUUGCUAAUCGGAGAUAUGGUUACCUACAUGAACGGAAGUGGCCUUCGGAAGCAAUUGAUAUGCACCAUGUUAUGGUGAGGAAGAGUAAUGGAAAGGGUUUCUUCGUGUUUUUUUCAGCUCUCAUCGUUCUCGCAAAUGCUUCAUAUCUCCUCCUAGUCAAGAAUAAAUCAAUCAGCGUUCUUUUGUGGAGCUUUUUUUUGAGUGUUUUCCUCGUCAAACUAAUGUUUUGGAAGCGUGUCAUGAAAGAGUCUGUCAUGGUUAUGCCAACUUUUGGAGUUCAACUUGAAACACACUAUUUGAGUGGAAGAAUUGUCCGUCGCUUUGUUCCUAUUGACAAGAUUUUGAAACCUGUGUUGCUGGAAUGUGUGUCGCCAAUUACUUGUUACUGGAGCUUGUCUCUGCUUCUGCGUGGAGAAGCAGAACUAAUGUUGGUUUUUAAGGAAUUACGACCUCCUGUGAAGAUGUUGAUCCCUAUCUGGAAGGCCUUGUGUUGUGCUUCUGGCAUUAAAGAAGGCUCAGACACCUUGAAGGAUGUCAGCUAAAAAGAUGAGAUGCAAGUAGAAGUCAGCGGAGGACCAUUUGCAGGAAAGCAGGUCGUAAGAGAUGAUGCUUUAUCGUAUCCUCUAACGCAGGAAAAAAAAAGACCAUUAGCCAUUCCUACUCACAAUUUACUUCAUCAAUACACUAUCAUUUCACGAGGGCCAUUUUUCACUGCAGGGAACAGAUUGGUGCUCACUUUUUAAGCUACCUCAAGGAAUUCUGUACAUGGAGAUAUCAUCAGGAUCCAUGAAAAUGGUGGGUCUUCUCCGUAGACUUUUACGAUCUUUGAUCGUAAGUUGAGGAAGCAUAUGGCUGGACAUCAAUAUGAACAUAGAUGACAAACUUGUCUUAGUACGAUUGCCAUAGAAUAGACCCAUCGAACGGGCAGUGCUGACCUAAUAUCAGAGAUAAUGUCCUUCAGGUGAUCCCCGCUCUCUCACGUUUGCCUUGCAGACAUACACACCAAGGAAAUUUACAGACAUCUUCCCCAUCAAUGUCCAGGCAUGAGUGUUAUCUCAUUUUGUGAGAAUUGAGUGUUGAACUACUGAUCUUUGAGUUAAUGUGACGUGAAACCACAAGGUUCUUUGAAUAGAAACACGGCAGUCUCCAUCUAUCAACAAUGUUGCCAAGGGAGAAGACAAGGCUUCCUUAAAGAGCUCUUGAUGCGUAGUACGCUUUCCAUCUCUCCCUCUAUAGGAGACCUUAUCGGGAGAUGAGAACAAUUUGUUCAAGUGUUAAAUGGCCUAGAAUAAUAGAGUUUCUUUUUUACUAGCAUGCACGGUGUCGAUGUUUGGGACACGACAGCCAAAGCCGGCCGAAGAUUUGCUGACGAUCAUCUCUCUUGUAACUUGUAAGCUUGCAUUGGCUGGCUAGGAUGUUUCUGCAGUUCAUUUUCUUAUAUAUUUCAGUCUCAACUUGGCCACGACAUUCUCGUGUUCCCAUUGCCCAA